GGGAAUAUUGGGCAAUGGGGGCAAGCGCGAUCCAGACCAAUGGCGUGUGUGAAGAAGGCCUUAUGGUUGUAAAGCACUUUAAGCGAGGAGGAGAAAACUUUAGUUAAAACCAAGAGAUAGUAGACGUUACUCGCAAAAUAAACCCCGGCUAAAUUUGUGCCAGCCAGCGCGGUAAUUCAGAGGGGGCAAACGUUUAUUGGAAUUUCUGGGGGUAAAACGGGGGUCAGGGGGUAAUUAAAUCAAAUGGGAAAUUCCCGAGGCUAAACUGGGAAUUGCCUUUGAUACUGGUUAGGUAGGAGGUGGGAGAGGAUGGUAGAAUUUCAGGGGGAGCGGUGAAAAGGGGAGAAAUUUGGAGGAAUCCCGAUGGGGAAGGCCACCAUCUGGCCCAACCACGACGGUGAGGUCAGAAAACAUGGGGAACCAACCAGAUUAGAUACCCUGGUAAUUCCACCCCUAAACGAUGUUUAAUA
rnacentral:rRNA from 1 species